UACGUAGGGGGCAAGCGUUGUCCGGAAUCAUUGGGCGUAAAGCGCACGUAGGCGGCUUUGCAAGUUAGAGGUGAAAGCCCGGGGCUCAACUCCGGAAUUGCCUUUAAAACUGCAUCGCUAGAAUUGUGGAGAGGUAAGUGGAAUUCCUGGUGUAGCGGUGAAAUGCGCAGAUAUCAGGAAGAACACCCGUGGCGAAGGCGGCUCUCUGGUACGUGACUGACGCUGAGACGCGAAAGCGUGGGGAGCAAACAGG
rnacentral:rRNA from 1 species